CCUACGGGGGGCAGCAGUGGGGAAUAUUGGGCAAUGGGCGCAAGCCUGACCCAGCAAUGCCGCGUGAAGGAAGAAGGCUUUCGGGUUGUAAACUUCUUUUACAGGGGAAGAGCAGAAGACCGUACCCUGAAUACAAGCCACGGCUAACUACGUGCCAGCAGCCGGGGUAAUACGGUGGUGGCCAGCGUUGUCCGGAUUUACUGGGUGUAAAGGGCGUGUAGCCGGGAAGGGAAGUCAGAUGUGAAAUCUGGAGGCUCAACCUCCAAAUUGCAUUUGAAACUGUUUUUCUUGAGUACUGGAGAGGCAGACGGAAUUCCUGGUGUAGCGGUGAAAUGCGUAGAUAUAAGGAGGAACACCAGUGGCGAAGGCGGUCUGCUGGACAGCAACUGACGGUGAGGCGCGAAAGCGUGGGGAGCAAACAGGAUUAGAUACCCGGGUAGUC
rnacentral:rRNA from 1 species